UAAUUAAAUAAUCUCCGUGCAAAAAUAUCUAAGGGCUAAUUUAGUCUAGGAUAUUGCGCCAAAGCGAAAUAGGGAAUAGGAAUGAAAAUAUAGCUUUAAGCUUUUCGCUUUCUGGGUUACGUGGGAAACCAUUUAGCCUUCCGUAUUAGAGAAGGAGCAUUAUUUACAAGAAU
rnacentral:ncRNA from 2 species